rnacentral:rRNA from 1 species
AGAUUGAACGCUGGCGGAAUGCUUUACACAUGCAAGUCGAGCGGCAGCGUGGGGCAACCUGGCGGCGAGCGGCGAACGGGUGAGUAAUGCAUCGGAACAUGUCCAUUCGUGGGGGAUAGCCCGGCGAAAGCCGGAUUAAUACCGCAUACGCCCGAGAGGGAAAGCGGGGGACUCGCAAGAGCCUCGCGCGAAUGGGUUGGCCGAUGCCCGAUUAGCUAGUUGGCGGGUAAUGGCCCACCAAGGCGAUGAUCGGUAGCUGGUCUGAGAGGAUGAUCAGCCACACU